AUACGUAGGUGGCAAGCGUUAUCCGGAUUUACUGGGUGUAAAGGGCGUGUAGGCGGGCCUGCAAGUCAGGUGUGAAAUUCCAGGGCUCAAUCCUGGAACUGCACUUGAAACUGUGGGUCUUGAGUGAUGGAGAGGCAGGCGGAAUUCCGUGUGGUGCGGUGAAAUGCGUAGAUAUACGGAGGAACACCAGUGGCGAAGGCGGCCUGCUGGACAUUAACUGACGCUGAAGCGCGAAAGCGUGGGGAGCAAACAGGAUUAGAUACCCUGGUAGUCCACGCUGUAAACGAUGGAUACUAGGUGUGGGGGGUCUGACCCCCUCCGUGCCGCAGUUAACACAAUAAGUAUCCCACCUGGGGAGUACGAUCGCAAGGUUGAAACUCAAAUGAAUUGACGGGG
rnacentral:rRNA from 1 species